UUUCAAAGGUGGACACCACUCUGCUGAUCAAAGGAUCCAUCGGCAGAGACCAGAUUCUCCUGGACCCAGCUGUGUGUCCGUGAACAGCGACCGUCAUGUCCCUGUUCACUUCAAAGCUGGACAUAAUGAUGCUGAACAAAAGUUGAUCAGCAGAGCUCAGAGGUUCCCAGUGGUCAGUCUGCCCAGCAGCAUCAAACAGACCUGGA